rnacentral:rRNA from 1 species
UACGUAGGUGGCAAGCGUUGUCCGGAUUUACUGGGUGUAAAGGGCGUGCAGCCGGGUUUAUAAGUCAGAUGUGAAAUCCCGCGGCUCAACCGCGGAACUGCAUUUGAAACUGUAGAUCUUGAGUACUGGAGAGGCAGGCGGAAUUCCUAGUGUAGCGGUGAAAUGCGUAGAUAUUAGGAGGAACACCAGUGGCGAAGGCGACUUUCUGGACGAUAACUGACGUUGAGGCACGAAAGUGUGGGGAGCAAACAGG